UUAAGCGACUAAGCGUACACGGUGGAUGCCCUGGCAGUCAGAGGCGAUGAAGGACGUGCUAAUCUGCGAUAAGCGUCGGUAAGGUGAUAUGAACCGUUAUAAACCGGCGAUUUCCGAAUGGGGAAACCCAGUGUGUUUCGACAACACUAUCAUUAACUGAAUCCAUAGGUUAAUGAGGCGAACCGGGGGAACUGAAACAUCUAAGUACCCCGAGGAAAAGAAAUCAACCGAGAUUCCCCCAGUAGCGGCGAGCGAACGGGGAGCAGCCCAGAGCCUGAAUCAGUGUGUGUGUUAGUGGAAGCGUCUGGAAAGGCGUGCGAUACAGGGUGACAGCCCCGUACACAAAAAUGCACAUGCUGUGAGCUCGAUGAGUAGGGCGGGGACACGUGGUAUCCUGUCUGAAUAUGGGGGGACCAUCCUCCAAGGCUAAAUACUCCUGACUGACCGAUAGUGAACCAGUACCGUGAGGGAAAGGCGAAAAGAACCCCGGCGAGGGGAGUGAAAAAGAACCUGAAACCGUGUACGUACAAGCAGUGGGAGCACGCUUAGGCGUGUGACUGCGUACCUUUUGUAUAAUGGGUCAGCGACUUAUAUUCUGUAGCAAGGUUAACCGAAUAGGGGAGCCGAAGGGAAACCGAGUCUUAACUGGGCGUUAAGUUGCAGGGUAUAGACCCGAAACCCGGUGAUCUAGCCAUGGGCAGGUUGAAGGUUGGGUAACACUAACUGGAGGACCGAACCGACUAAUGUUGAAAAAUUAGCGGAUGACUUGUGGCUGGGGGUGAAAGGCCAAUCAAACCGGGAGAUAGCUGGUUCUCCCCGAAAGCUAUUUAGGUAGCGCCUCGUGAAUUCAUCUCCGGGGGUAGAGCACUGUUUCGGCAAGGGGGUCAUCCCGACUUACCAACCCGAUGCAAACUGCGAAUACCGGAGAAUGUUAUCACGGGAGACACACGGCGGGUGCUAACGUCCGUCGUGAAGAGGGAAACAACCCAGACCGCCAGCUAAGGUCCCAAAGUCAUGGUUAAGUGGGAAACGAUGUGGGAAGGCCCAGACAGCCAGGAUGUUGGCUUAGAAGCAGCCAUCAUUUAAAGAAAGCGUAAUAGCUCACUGGUCGAGUCGGCCUGCGCGGAAGAUGUAACGGGGCUAAACCAUGCACCGAAGCUGCGGCAGCGACACUAUGUGUUGUUGGGUAGGGGAGCGUUCUGUAAGCCUGUGAAGGUGUGCUGUGAGGCAUGCUGGAGGUAUCAGAAGUGCGAAUGCUGACAUAAGUAACGAUAAAGCGGGUGAAAAGCCCGCUCGCCGGAAGACCAAGGGUUCCUGUCCAACGUUAAUCGGGGCAGGGUGAGUCGACCCCUAAGGCGAGGCCGAAAGGCGUAGUCGAUGGGAAACAGGUUAAUAUUCCUGUACUUGGUGUUACUGCGAAGGGGGGACGGAGAAGGCUAUGUUGGCCGGGCGACGGUUGUCCCGGUUUAAGCGUGUAGGCUGGUUUUCCAGGCAAAUCCGGAAAAUCAAGGCUGAGGCGUGAUGACGAGGCACUACGGUGCUGAAGCAACAAAUGCCCUGCUUCCAGGAAAAGCCUCUAAGCAUCAGGUAACAUCAAAUCGUACCCCAAACCGACACAGGUGGUCAGGUAGAGAAUACCAAGGCGCUUGAGAGAACUCGGGUGAAGGAACUAGGCAAAAUGGUGCCGUAACUUCGGGAGAAGGCACGCUGAUAUGUAGGUGAAGCGACUUGCUCGUGGAGCUGAAAUCAGUCGAAGAUACCAGCUGGCUGCAACUGUUUAUUAAAAACACAGCACUGUGCAAACACGAAAGUGGACGUAUACGGUGUGACGCCUGCCCGGUGCCGGAAGGUUAAUUGAUGGGGUUAGCCGCAAGGCGAAGCUCUUGAUCGAAGCCCCGGUAAACGGCGGCCGUAACUAUAACGGUCCUAAGGUAGCGAAAUUCCUUGUCGGGUAAGUUCCGACCUGCACGAAUGGCGUAAUGAUGGCCAGGCUGUCUCCACCCGAGACUCAGUGAAAUUGAACUCGCUGUGAAGAUGCAGUGUACCCGCGGCAAGACGGAAAGACCCCGUGAACCUUUACUAUAGCUUGACACUGAACAUUGAGCCUUGAUGUGUAGGAUAGGUGGGAGGCUUUGAAGUGUGGACGCCAGUCUGCAUGGAGCCGACCUUGAAAUACCACCCUUUAAUGUUUGAUGUUCUAACGUUGACCCGUAAUCCGGGUUGCGGACAGUGUCUGGUGGGUAGUUUGACUGGGGCGGUCUCCUCCUAAAGAGUAACGGAGGAGCACGAAGGUUGGCUAAUCCUGGUCGGACAUCAGGAGGUUAGUGCAAUGGCAUAAGCCAGCUUGACUGCGAGCGUGACGGCGCGAGCAGGUGCGAAAGCAGGUCAUAGUGAUCCGGUGGUUCUGAAUGGAAGGGCCAUCGCUCAACGGAUAAAAGGUACUCCGGGGAUAACAGGCUGAUACCGCCCAAGAGUUCAUAUCGACGGCGGUGUUUGGCACCUCGAUGUCGGCUCAUCACAUCCUGGGGCUGAAGUAGGUCCCAAGGGUAUGGCUGUUCGCCAUUUAAAGUGGUACGCGAGCUGGGUUUAGAACGUCGUGAGACAGUUCGGUCCCUAUCUGCCGUGGGCGCUGGAGAACUGAGGGGGGCUGCUCCUAGUACGAGAGGACCGGAGUGGACGCAUCACUGGUGUUCGGGUUGUCAUGCCAAUGGCACUGCCCGGUAGCUAAAUGCGGAAGAGAUAAGUGCUGAAAGCAUCUAAGCACGAAACUUGCCCCGAGAUGAGUUCUCCCUGACUCCUUGAGAGUCCUGAAGGAACGUUGAAGACGACGACGUUGAUAGGCCGGGUGUGUAAGCGCAGCGAUGCGUUGAGCUAACCGGUACUAAUGAACCGUGAGGCUUAACCUU
rnacentral:rRNA from 1 species